CUCCAGACAAUCUUCAUCCCCAUGGCGUUCCCCUGCGGUUCGUGAGAUCUGAGCGCUUUUCAUGUAUCUUGUGCGUUCAGAUCCAAGCUGUCUGGGGAUGGGUUGAAUGUGGUAUUCAAAGACUAUGGUGUAAAAGUAAUGUAUUUUUAUUCAGUUUUCAUGUGUCCAUAAAAGUUAUAUUAUUUCAUGUACCUGGAGAUAAUUGAGUUACUGUAACCGUUGAGACCAAUUAUCUCCAAG